UACGUAGGUGGCGAGCGUUGUCCGGAUUUACUGGGCGUAAAGCGCGCGCAGGCGGCAGUCUAAGUCCUCUGUGAAAUCACCCGGCUUAACUGGGUGGCUGCGGAGGAGACUGGGCAGCUUGAGGGGCCUAGAGGCCGGUGGAACUCCCGGUGUAGUGGUGAAAUGCGUAGAGAUCGGGAAGAACACCAGUGGCGAAGGCGGCCGGCUGGGGGCGCCCUGACGCUGAGGCGCGAGAGCGUGGGGAG
rnacentral:rRNA from 1 species